CUACAAUUUUUUCCAGUGAAUAGGAGUUAAAACUCCCACCCCGGUGACACUACUCCAAAAACAGACCAUGCUAAAUAACUAAAAAUAUUCAA